GGCAUAGAGUCCAGCAGUACCAUCCAGCUGGGCUGCAGAAGGUGCAGGCAGACAUGUGCUCUGCUCCAUAGAAGCCACUGGCUUGGGUAAGAGACUGGCUACAAGGGUGUCCUUGUGGGGCCAUGGGGCAGCAGGGGGUGAUAUCACCCGAGGUUGGUUGGCAAGUCAGCACCAGAAUUUCUGACAUAUAGCCUCAAACCUGU